GAGAUUGAGUUUGAUCCUGGCUCAGAUUGAACGCUGGCGGCAUGCUUUACACAUGCAAGUCGAACGGUAACAGGCCGCAAGGUGCUGACGAGUGGCGAACGGGUGAGUAAUGCAUCGGAACGUGCCCAGUCGUGGGGGAUAACGCAGCGAAAGCUGUGCUAAUACCGCAUACGAUCUAUGGAUGGAAGCGGGGGACCGUAAGGCCUCGCGCGAUUGGAGCGGCCGAUGUCAGAUUAGCUAGUUGGUGGGGUAAAGGCCCACCAAGGCGACGAUCUGUAGCUGGUCUGAGAGGACGACCAGCCACACUGGGACUGAGACACGGCCCAGACUCCUACGGGAGGCAGCAGUGGGGAAUUUUGGACAAUGGGCGCAAGCCUGAUCCAGCAAUGCCGCGUGCAGGAAGAAGGCCUUCGGGUUGUAAACUGCUUUUGUACGGAACGAAACGGUCUGGGUUAAUACCUCGGGCUAAUGACGGUACCGUAAGAAUAAGCACCGGCUAACUACGUGCCAGCAGCCGCGGUAAUACGUAGGGUGCAAGCGUUAAUCGGAAUUACUGGGCGUAAAGCGUGCGCAGGCGGUGAUGUAAGACAGUCGUGAAAUCCCCGGGCUCAACCUGGGAAUUGCGAUUGUGACUGCAUCGCUGGAGUGCGGCAGAGGGGGAUGGAAUUCCGCGUGUAGCAGUGAAAUGCGUAGAUAUGCGGAGGAACACCGAUGGCGAAGGCAAUCCCCU
rnacentral:rRNA from 1 species